rnacentral:rRNA from 1 species
GCAUCAGGCAUGUAGAGGUUGAUGAAAACCAGGUCAAGACUUGCUGGCGGAUGCUUUACAUGCAAGUCGAACGGCAGCGGACUUCGGUCUGGUGGCGAGUGGCGAACGGGUGAUAAUGUCGGAACGUGCCUAGUAGCGGGGAUAACUACUGUGGCCGUAGCUGGCCACCACCUGUCUACGCCCUUCAGGGGAAAGCGGGGGACCUUCGGGCCUCGCACUAUUAGAGCGGCCGAUAUCGGAUUAGCUAGUUGGUGAGGUAACGCUCACCAAGGCGACGAUCCGUAGCUGGUUUUAGCAGGGGACGACCAGCCACACUGGGAUGCGGGACAGCCCAGACUCCUACGGGAGAGCAGCAGUGGGAAUUUUGGACAAUGAAACCUGAUCCAGCCAUCCGCACGUGUGCGAUGAAGGCCUUCCGGGUUACCAACACUGGCGGAAAAGAAACGGCACGGGAUAAUACAGUGCAACCCCGGUGGCUGCCUGCAGAAUAAGCUGCGGCCAGCCCUGACCCUACGUGCAACAGCCGCGGUAAUACGUAGGGUGCAAGCGUUAAUCGGAAUUACUGGGCGUAAAGCGUGCGCAGGCGGUUCGGAAGAAGAUGUGAAAUCCCAGAGCUUAACUUUGGAACUGCAUUUUAACUACCGAGCUAGAGUGUCAGAGGGAGGUGGAAUUCCGCGUGUAGCAGUGAAAUGCGUAGAUAUGCUAAAGAGAACACCGAUGGCGAAGGCAGCCUCCUGGGGAAUUAACACUGACGCUCAUGCACAGGCAAUGGGAGCAGAACAGGAUUAGAUGCCCUGGUAGUCCGCCCUAAACGAUGUCAACUAGCUGUUGGGGCCUUCGGGCCUUGGUGACGCAGCUAACGCGUAGAGAUGACUUACACCUGGAAGGCCACGGUCAAGAUUAAAACUCAAAGGAAUUGACGGGGACCCGCACAAGCGGUGGAUGAUGUGGAUUAAUUCAUUGACGCGAAAAACCUUACCUACCCUUGACAUGUCUGGAAUCCCGAAAGUUGGGGUGGCUUAACGCAAGAGAACCGGAACACAGGUGCACCUGGCGCCGUCGUCGGCUCAUUGUCAAUGAGAUGUUGAGUUCGAUCCGCAACGAGCAUAAUGCACUGUCAUGCAAGACGCUGCGAAGACCUCUGGCAGGACUGCCGGUGACAAGCCGGAGGAAGGUGGGGAUGACGUCAAAUCUCGCGUACCCCUUAUGGGUAGGGCUUCACACGUCAUACAAUGGUCAGGACAGAGGGGUCUUCGCCCGCGAGAAGACCAAUCCAGAAACCCGAUCAAUGAUCCACGAGAUCAUGAUCUGCAACUCGGCCGUGAAGUCGGGACGUCGCUACGUAAUCGCGGAUCAGCAUGUCGCGGUGAUACGUUCCCGGGUCUUGUACACACUUGAAAUCACCAUGGGAGUGGGUUUUACCAGAAGUAGUUAGCCUAAUAAGGAGAGCGUUACCACAGUAGGAUUCAUGGCUGGGGUGAAGUCGUAACAAGGUAA